rnacentral:rRNA from 1 species
UACGUAGGGUGCGAGCGUUAAUCGGAAUUACUGGGCGUAAAGCGUGCGCAGGCGGUUGUGCAAGACAGAUGUGAAAUCCCCGGGCUCAACCUGGGAACUGCAUUUGUGACUGCACGGCUGGAGUGCGGCAGAGGGGGAUGGAAUUCCGCGUGUAGUAGUGAAAUGCGUAGAUAUGCGGAGGAACACCGAUGGCGAAGGCAAUCCCCUGGGCCUGCACUGACGCUCAUGCACGAAAGCGUGGGGAGCAAACAGG